rnacentral:rRNA from 1 species
GACGAAGGUGGCUAGCGUUAUUCGGAUUUACUGGGCAUAAAGCGCGCGUAGGCGGCUUGAUAAGUCGGAGGUGAAAGCCUGCAGCUCAACUGCGGUGUGCCUCCGAAACUGUCAGGCUUGAGUGCAGGAGGGGUGAUUGGAACUCCAGGUGUAGCGGUGAAAUGCGUAGAUAUCUGGAGGAACACCAGAGGCGAAGGCGAAUCACUGGACUGCUACUGACGCUGAGGCGCGAAAGCUAGGGGAGCAAACAGG